rnacentral:tRNA from 1 species
GGGUCGAUGUCCCGAGUGGCAAAGGGGGGAGACUGUAAAUUUCCUGCGCGACGCGCUUCGCAGGUUCGAGUCCUGCUCGGCCCA